UACGUGGGUCCCGAGCGUUGUCCGGAUUUAUUGGGCGUAAAGCGAGCGCAGGUGGUUUAUUAAGUCUGGUGUAAAAGGCAGUGGCUCAACCAUUGUAUGCAUUGGAAACUGGUAGACUUGAGUGCAGGAGAGGAGAGUGGAAUUCCAUGUGUAGCGGUGAAAUGCGUAGAUAUAUGGAGGAACACCGGUGGCGAAAGCGGCUCUCUGGCCUGUAACUGACACUGAAGCUCGAAAGCGUGGGGAGCAAACAGG
rnacentral:rRNA from 1 species